rnacentral:lncRNA from 1 species
UCGGCUACCGCUCUCUGUUCUUUCUUCUUCCUUCCAGUUCCAUAAUCCGUUCCUUUGUCUGAAUCGACGGACUAAAAGACCGGCCAGCUUGUCAAUGACCGAACAUCUAAAGAGCUUGAAUCAGGUCAGUAUAAUUAUCUUUACUUUUAUCUCUAAAUUUUAUCUCUGUUUGGACAUUGGAUGAUUUCAGAAAAGCUCUUACUUUGCAAUUAGUUAUACCUGCUGAGCUAUGGAAACUGAUUUCCUAAAGUAAUUUUUAUUUGUAAUUGUUGUCUAUAUGUAUUAUUUUAAAAAAAUUGAAAAGAAUGGGGAAACUUUUUGCUUGGUUCAUAUCAAAGUGAAAGAAAGUUUUACUCAUAUUGAAAAUGAAGGUUAUACCCCUACUAUUACUGUAAUUGAAGUAUAUAUAUACUUCAUCCGUCCCAUUUUGUUUGCUUGUUAUUUUCUUUCUGGAUGUCCAAACUGUUUGCAAAGUUUAUAAAUUUAUGCAUUUAAACAAUUAUUUUUUCCCUAAUAACCUUUCUAGUUGUUCAUUAAAUGAAAGACUUUUAUUAAUAUUUAAAGGUUAAAAAAGGGAUAAAAUGGUUUUUGUUGACUAAAUUCUUGAUAUGUAUGUUUUGUCAAACUAUAUAAACAAAAUAAGAAGGAAAUAAUAUAUAUAUAAAAGAAAGACCCAAAUCUACAUCUUACUUUUCCUUCCAUUUUCAUUCUUUUACUCCUGUGAAUGCGAGGAUGCAUUGAAUUAAGAUAUACUCGUCUCAAAAUAUAAGUCGUUUUUGAGUAAUUAUUUUGUCCCAAAAUAUAACGUUUUGAGUAUUCUAAGGGCUAAUAAAUGAUGUUUUUCCGAUAUUACCCUUGUUUAGAUUAGUUAUAGUAAAUACUUUUACAAAUAACUAUUGAUUUUGAGAUAAAAGAUAAUCUGAUCAAAUUACCUUGAAUUUUUUAUAAUCUAGGAGAAUUAAUAGACUUCUUAAUCCUUGUGCAACAACCUUGUCAUUGCUUUGAGAGUUUUAAGAGUUCAAAUGAAGAAUAUUUUAAACGGAAGCUUCUUUUUUUUUUCUUGCUCUCGUUUUUUGUUUCAUGAGUGUGAUAUGUUACAGCUUCUGUGUCUUAUGAUAAAAAAGCUAUUACAAUCAAUGGACAGAGAAAGAUUCUUAUGAGAGUUUAGCUUGUUCUUUAUAUGAGAAAAUUAAGCUAAUCAUGCAAAUUCAUCUCUAGCUAUUUAUUGAGUCCAAAUUUUAUAUAUUCUUUAAUUUGCAAGUUAAAUUAAUAUUUACUAUGAUUAGAAGUCAAUAAAUUAAUUGAUUGCUUUCUCUAAUUAUAUGUUGAUUUGCUCUUAUUUUAUUUUUGUAGAUGAGAAAGUGUGGCCAUGUUCUCGGCUUUUUUUUAUGGAAGGGAAGCAUAGAUUUGAUGGUUUCAGUGUCUAAUUAGCAUUUUUUAAGAUUAUUUAAAAAUUAGAACUAUUUAAUCUUAUUUGAUAUGUAUUAUUGUAAUGUGUUAUUUGGCUUAGAUUUAUAUUUUAUUAAGUUUAUGAAUACUUAUGUUUUAUGUUGAAAAUUGUUGUAUUGUCGAGCAUUUGAAAAUAGGGACUGAAGUUAUUUAUUACUACCAUUAUUCUAUCAUACUUGUUACAUUUGAAAUUUCAUAUUAUCUAAAUUAUAAUAAAUUAUUAUAUAAAUU